rnacentral:rRNA from 1 species
AUGGCGGGCGCGACCUUCCUCUCUGCUCCCGCGCUGCGCCUCGGCCUCCCUUCCGUCUCGUCGCCGGCGUGCAGACACGCACACAUUCAGGUGUGCUGCCAGGCCAAGUCCGGGGGCUCCGGCGCCGAGGCGGCCGCCGCUUGCGAAGAGGCUCUGCGGUUCCGCAGAAGGGAUCUGAUCGGGGGCUGCUUCGGCGCCGCCGUUGGCUUGGAAAUCGUUGAGGGCUCUACGAGGUUCACAGGGGUGGCUGCUGCGGCUGACCUGAUCGAACGCCGGCAGCGCUCCGAGUUCCAAUCAAGCAUCAAAAGCACCCUCACAGCAGCCAUAGAGGCAAAGCCAGAGCUCGUGCCGUCUCUCUUGACCUUGGCACUGAAUGAUGCUAUGACAUACGACAAGGCUACGAAGACAGGAGGGCCAAAUGGGUCCAUCAGGCUAAGUGCAGAAAUAAGCAGACCUGAAAACAGUGGACUUUCUGCUGCCUUAGAUCUGCUAGUAGAAGCAAAGAAAGAGAUUGAUUCCUACUCCAAGGGAGGCCCCAUUUCAUUUGCAGAUUUGGUCCAAAUAGGGGCAUCACAGGCACUUAAGAAAACGUUCCUUGAUGCGGCCAUUGCCAAGACCGGUGGGAACGAAGAGAAGGGAAGGACCCUAUACUCGGCAUACGGUUCAAGUGGGCAGUGGGGUUUCUUCGACAAAAUAUUCGGGCGAGACGACGCACAAGAACCUGAUCCAGAGGGCAGGGUGCCUCAGUGGAGCACCGCUUCUGUCCAGGAAAUGAAGGACAAGUUUAUCUCCGUCGGUCUCGGUCCUCGUCAGGUUGCUGUGAUGUCGGCCUUCUUCGGACCCGACCAAGCUGCCACGGAGGAGAAACUGAUCGCUGAUCCAGACUGCCGGCCAUGGGUCGAGAAGUACCAGCGCAGUCGCGAGACGGUCUCCCGAACCGACUACGAGGUUGACCUGAUAACCGCGGUCACCAAGCUGAGCUACCUGGGCCAGAAGAUAAACUACGAGGCCUACACAUACCCCAAGCAAAAGAUUAACUUGGGUAAACUGAAGCUGUGA